AUUGAACGCUGGCGGCAGGCCUAACACAUGCAAGUCGAGCGGAUGAAGGGAGCUUGCUCCUGGAUUCAGCGGCGGACGGGUGAGUAAUGCCUAGGAAUCUGCCUGGUAGUGGGGGAUAACGUCCGGAAACGGGCGCUAAUACCGCAUACGUCCUGAGGGAGAAAGUGGGGGAUCUUCGGACCUCACGCUAUCAGAUGAGCCUAGGUCGGAUUAGCUAGUUGGUGGGGUAAAGGCCUACCAAGGCGACGAUCCGUAACUGGUCUGAGAGGAUGAUCAGUCACACUGGAACUGAGACACGGUCCAGACUCCUACGGGAGGCAGCAGUGGGGAAUAUUGGACAAUGGGCGAAGGCCUGAUCCAGCCAUGCCGCGUGUGAAGAAGGUCUUCGGAUUGUAAAGCACUUUAAGUUGGGAGGAAGGGCAGUAAGUUAAUACCUUGCUGUUUUGACGUUACCAACAGAAUAAGCACCGGCUAACUUCGUG
rnacentral:rRNA from 1 species